CUUUCUUAAAAUGAUAGUGUUCAUUAGGGGAACCCUUUCUUUCUUACAGUGAUGCUAGUGGAUGAUCAUGUGCAUUACUAUACAUGUUUUCUGAUAGUUUACUUUUAAGAAGGCAUUGUUGUUAGUGAUCUGCACUUUUUCUUCAAAUAUUUUCUGAGUGGGAGUGGUGACAAUUGUUCCAAAAAAUGGAGAAAAGUGAGGAAGGAGAAAAAUUGACUAAAGUAGUGGCUCUUAAAAUAUGAUAUGUCACAGAUCUCCUUGAAAAUUGGAUAAAAAUUAGGAAGGUACACUUCUGAUGGGGAAAAAGUUCACAUGCUCACGAAAAUUUACAUGCAAUCUCAGGAAUUUCAGAACCCUCCUGACAGGCAGCAGUGAACUCACCCCAAAGUUUAUGAAUAUCAGAUGAGUCCUAUACAAUAAAGGGGUCAAAACUCUUACCUCUACCAAGUUGUAAAAGACUUUGAAUACCCCAUCAGCCCUCAACCUAAGGCUGAAGUCCUUAGAUCUUCUGAGGCAGCCCCACUGCUCUGAGCACUGCUAUCAAGAAAUAUGGAUGGGUCAGCACUGGUAAUGACUGGAUUCUUCAUAAGUGCUGGCUGUGAAGCAAAUGCUCUACCCUAUCUUCCUCUAAAUGUUGAGUUCUUAAAACUUCAACCACAAGCAGUACGUUGCAAAACUUACUGGGAGCACUCAGGAGCUUACUUGUGAGAAGACACACAUGAUUUCCAAACUGGCUCUAGCUGGGUGAUUUUGCAGUUGCCUAUACGAAAUGAUCUGUCCAUUUUAGCUUUGAUCUUAGGGAAAAUAGCCACAUCUUGAUACAUUCUUCAUAAUAAGCGGCUUGGAUAAUAUUCCUGAAUUCAAAGAUUCAAAGUAUCUGGAGCAAGAACUAACCUUUCUCUUCUUGAGACAUUCCCUCCAGGGCAGGCCAAAGGUAUACUAGCAAAGAAGGAAAGCUUAUCAUUUCUCUAUCCAUAGUAUCCUGAGCUGUCAAUUCAGCAGCUUUCACAAGAACUAAACCUACUUUACAAAAAAAGGGGGGGGGGGCUUGAAAGUGUUGUACCAUUAGCUAUUCUGAUUCUAGUCCAUGCCAGGAAGCAAAGGUUCUUAUUAUACCAUGUUCUAUUUUUGAUCUAAUCCAUAUCAACAGCCUGAAGUCUCAGCAUGGUAAUGCUAGGGGAAUUCUUUGAUGAUAAUUGGAAACUGCACUGCCUUGCCCCUUAAGUUAUACAAUCUGACUGUCACUAGGAGUGUCAUUUUGGCUUUAAAGAGCCAGGGAGAAGAAAAGUGGGCAUCUGAAGUCUCUGUGGAAGGUACAGCAGCAAGUCAGGGUCUCUUGUGAAAGUUCUUCUAUUGCUUAGGUUGGGAUAUAGGAGCAAGAUGGGUGUCCCUACCCUGAUAUUUUAGAGCCUCAAGCCAACCAGUUUACCAUCAUUCAAAUACCCAGACAGAACUACCUUUACUUUUGGAGCAGACAACACGAUAUGGGAAGAAAAGUCACACUACACAGCAGUUAUUAAAAACAGUUAACUAUAACACCAGGCGUUAAAACCUGGUACCUUCUUGUCAUGAUAAAGAUUGUAACAAGAACAGGAAAUGGCACAGCACAAAUCCGUUUUCAUGAUAAUGAUCUCAUGAAUGUAAAGAGCAUAGGAAAUGGAACAAAUGUAACCCAUUCCAUUACCACCUUCAAACGGUAACCUCCCUGUCCUAGUCACAUGCCCUACUUAUGGUCCUGAUUAAAUCACAAGAGGAAAUCAAAAGGCUGACUGUGGCACAAGGGGAGCAAAACAGCCCCCAUUUACGUGCGUGCAUAUGUGUGCAUGCACACAUCUUUCCUUUGAACUCUGUUGCACUAGAGAAUUCCUUACAGCCGAUUCCCUGACUGACCUGAAUAAAGCAGGUCAGACACAGAAGGAACAUAGAAAACAAAAAAAACCAAGGAAUCAUCUGGGAAUAGGCACUCUCCUUACCACCCUUUAUCAAGAUGAGGAAACCCUAACAUUCCCUAAGUAGAAGCAUAAACAAAGAAGACUGACCGCCUUUCGACCUUCUAGCUCUCACAGCUCCUCAGCUUUUUGAGGGAAAUGGAGCUUCGGUCUCGUGAUGUGUUCUCUCUGUCCUGUCUGAAGAGGUUGCAACUUGAUUAGGGCUCAUCUGAAAGCACAAAGAAAGGACUCAGGAACCCAAGGAAGCCCGAACUGGCUGAGGUCAAUCAGGCCAGGUCAGAGUUGAGGCUGCCAUCCAUUCCUCUUUGACCUGGCCAUGUUUCUCAGGGGGAUCUCUUCCCCAUGGAAAGCUCUUUCAGUAAUACUAUGUGAAAUAUCUCACUCCAAGAUGACUGCUUCCCAGAUAUGAGGGGGAGAAGUGAGGAACGAUGGCUGAGUUUGCCAAAUAAAUACUAGAGAAGAGGAAAGCCAGAUUGCCUGGAGUACUGUGCCCACACCCUUCCUCAACCAAAUGUCACCCACUCUGCUCAGCUGGCUAGUAACUCCUUACAUGGCGUCCAAGUAACUGCUCUAUACAUUUUCUUCUACUGGGGAUUUGUCCAGGCAAGCAAGCCUGAAUAUACAUUACAUUUCAGGCAUCCUGGAAGUCUGUCCCUUCCAGAUGACAUCCCAAUUACCAAAUGGCCCUGGUUGGUUAAUAAGGAAUGCAGUAGUGAUCCUUGCCCUGGUUAUAUGCCAGUUGUGAAGUGGUGUUGGGAGGUUCCCAGGCGACUUCACAUCUUAAGAUAGCAAUUGGUGACCUCCUUAUCAGACACCAUGCAAAACGUUUUCUAUGGGGUGCACCAGUUUCCUAAGUAUCCUAUCUUGAUUCCCAAAACAGAUUACAUUGGAAUUAUCUUUUCAAAGAAAAAGAAGUUCUAAAUUUCAAGUGGUCUAAAAUUUUAAAAGGUUAUAAGCAUUGAAAAGUAAUCAUUUGGGGACAGUACUGUGUGAAAAAAGAAUAUAUUGGAAAACUGUCUAAAUAGUUCUGAAUGGCUGAUUUCUUCCUAGGGAGUAUUCACUGAUUGUAUAUGAUUGUGGUGAAUCACAAUAAUGAGUCCUAUUUACUUAAAAACAUUCCACUCUUUUAAAGAGUGAUAUGAUUGGGAUAACUAGAAUCUAGCUCAGGUUAUUGAAUAGGCCUCCACCAUCCAGUUUUUUUAACUGCUUUUAUUCUCUUUUUCAUUUCCAAGUGGCCACCUUAUAUGUAAACAUGCCUUUGCAACAUCACUAUUUCUUUUCAUUCUUUCACUAUUCUGUGAGAAUCUCUGUGAAAUGACAGGAAGAUAAGGAGGCAGCUGUGUAGUCUGGGGAUAAUCCCUUGGUAUUUCUGAGUCACUUUCAUUGGUACCAAUUCUUUCAUUGCUAAAAUGAAUAAAUUGGUCAACUUGGUAUUGAAGGUCCCUUCUAGCUCUGAAAUCAAAGAGACAUUGGGUUCCCACCAAGUCUAAACCAGUGACAUAUCCACCUCCUGCACUUGUUGUUGAUGUUGUUCUGUGGAUUUUAGAUGAAUAUCACCUUGAAUGUCUUUUUAAAGGAGGAUGUUAUCCUCUCUUUUCAUGAAUUUUAAAUUUGUCUCCUUUUCUUGCCCAUCAUUCUUUAUCUUUACAAGAAGUGCUUUGUUGCCUUCAGUAUCUGUUUCCACAGUGUCUAUUUUUAAGGAAUAAAGAAAUGAGAAUAGAAAAUAAAAUUAUGGGAGUUCCCCUCGUGGCUCAGUGGUAAUGUAUCCAACUAGUAUCCAUUAGGAUGAGGGUUCAAUCCCUGGCCUCACUCAGUGAGGUAACAGUCUGGUGUUGCCUUGAGUUGUGGUGUAGGUCACAGAUGUGGCUCGGAUCCUGUGUUGCUAUGGUGUAGGCCGGCAGCUGUAGCUCCAAUUUGACCUCUAGCCUGAUAAGUUCCAUAAGCCACGGUGUGGCCCUAAAAAAAAAAAAAAAGGGGAAAAGAAAAUUUGGAAGUGAGUUCUAUGGGAAGUUUGCAAGGCACAAAAUGAACCUAUGAUGGAUACAGAGGAGGAGGGUUUUUUUAAGUUAGGACACUGCAUGUAAACUCUCCAAAGUAAGGGAAUUAUAUUUUAAAGAACUACAACUGACUAAAUGAAGGAAUGAGCUUGUGAGGAGACUUAUGGCUUCUGCUGAGCCAUCAGACCCCAGUUUUACAGAAAUAAAACAAACCGUCUUUUGGAGACAUAAUUAAAGAAUGUUAGAAACAACUUCCCAAAUCAGAAUCAUAAGCCAGACUCAACUUUCCUACAGAUUAAUGCCAUCCAUACUUAAUCCUGAAAUACCCCUCACCAGAACUACCCAACUGACAGAGCAACCAGGGUUCUCUGCCAUCUGCUCUGCUCCAGCACCCUCUUGGGUAAUCCACAUAUGUUUCAAAGGCCUUCACACUGUGGAACCAGAGAUAAGAAUUGUCUCAGGCUUGUGCAGACAAUUAAUACUGACCACAGCAAGAUGCCAUUUCCCACCCCAGAAGUGGUAUCAGCUGAAAAGGGAACUUUCUUUGAUCUUAUCCAGGAACUUCAUGCCAUUAAAAAUUACUCCACUUCAACAUCCUGUUUCCCAACUCCACUAUCAUUUUGGUUGGCUGUUUAUGUGAACGCUUGAGUUCACCUUAUUUGAAGUGACUUUCCACCUAGACCAAUUUACCAGGGAUCCAAAGCACUCAUCUUGUGGUGUGCAAAGGCUAAAAAGACCACUUUGUGUACAAAGACAAACUGGUAAUAAGAUGAUAUCU
ensembl:lncRNA